GCAGCCGUGGCCGAGCGGUUAAGGCGACUGACUUGAAAUCAGUUUCCCUCUGGGAGCGUAGGUUCGAAUCCUACCGGCUGCG